rnacentral:lncRNA from 1 species
CAGAUCUUCGGGACACGGCCUUGUUAACUCUAAAGUUUAAGUUUAAUCCUAGACUGGGCAUUGACAAUCCUGUCCUCUCCCUGGCUGAAGACCAGGACCAAUCUGGUAAUCCCCUCACCCCUGGCAACUAUUGCCUUUCCCUAGAGACACUACAGAGCCACACAGCCUCCUAUCUCCUUGGUAACUGCCUCCCGCCUCCCUCUGAUAUCAGUAACUAGGCAGAGGUAGAGGGGGCAGCCUUCCCUUGGCUUCAGCAGCUGGCCCACACAUCCAUUCAGCUAUACAGCCCACCCUCUCACUGGCUGGAAGCUGACCAGUGCUCUGAGAGGAAGCAGGGACAUUUGAUGCUGCUGUGCCUGGGCUGUGUCCCCCUCCUCCUUUUUGGCUACCUACCUCCUCCUCCAGAUCCCUGGAACCUGCACCGGCCUCGCUUCUGUCUGUUGAGCAAGGAGGAGGAAAAGAGUUUUGGGUUCCAUCUGCAGCAGCAGCUCGGCAAGGCUGACCAUGUGGUGUGCAGGGUGGAUCCAGGCUCCUCUGCCCAGCGCCAGGGUCUCCGGGAAGGAGAUCGGAUCCUAGCUGUGAACAAUAAUAUUGUGGAACAUGAGGACUAUGCGGUGGUGAGGCUGGGCUGGGAAUCCCUGUGGUACUAAAGGACGUUCAGGGAGGAAACGCAGCCUGAUGUUUGUCUGGACACUGGAUUGGCCUAGCCUCACC